rnacentral:rRNA from 1 species
CUGCUGCCUCCCGUAGGAGUUUGGGCCGUGUCUCAGUCCCAAUGUGGCCGGUCACCCUCUCAGGUCGGCUACUGAUCGUCGGUUUGGUGGGCCGUUACCCCGCCAACUGCCUAAUCAGACGCGGGGCCAUCUCAUACCACCGGAGUUUUUCACACUGCACCAUGCGGUGCUGUGCGCUUAUGCGGCAUUAGCAGCCGUUUCCAGCUGUUAUUCCCCUGUAUGAGGCAGGUUCCCCACGCGUUACUCACCCGUCCG